rnacentral:rRNA from 1 species
GAUUUUAGCAUGGAAUAAUAAAAUAGGACUUUGGUUUUAUUUUGUUGGUUUUAAAGACCAAGGUAAUGAUUAAUAGGGAUAGUUGGGGGCAUUAGUAUUUCGAAGUCAGAGGUGAAAUUCUUGGAUUUUCGGAAGACUAACUAGUGCGAAAGCAUUUGCCAAGGAUGUUUUCAUUAAUCAAGAACGAAAGUUAGGGGAUCGAAGACGAUCAGAUACCGUCGUAGUCUUAACCGUAAACUAUGCCGACUAGGGAUUGGUGAGUGUUAGUUUUGACCUCAUCAGCACCUUACGAGAAAUCAAAGUUUUUGGGUUCUGGGGGGAGUAUGGUCGCAAGGCUGAAACUUAAAGGAAUUGACGGAAGGGCACCACCAGGAGUGGAGCCUGCGGCUUAAUUUGACUCAACACGGGGAAACUCACCAGGUCCAGACACAGUGAGGAUUGACAGAUUGAGAGCUCUUUCUUGAUUCUGUGGGUGGUGGUGCAUGGCCGUUCUUAGUUGGUGGAGUGAUUUGUCUGCUUAAUUGCGAUAACGAACGAGACCUUAACCUGCUAAAUAGCCCGUACUGCUUUGGCAGUUCGCCGGCUUCUUAGAGGGACUAUCGGCUCAAGCCGAUGGAAGUUUGAGGCAAUAACAGGUCUGUGAUGCCCUUANAUGUCCUGNGCCGCACGCGCGUUACACUGACAGAGCCAGCGAGUAUUUCCUUG